CUGCUUCUUCUUCGGGAGCGUACUGUAAGCUGACAUUGUCCAUAAUAAUUCUUCCAUGCGCCGGCCAAGUUGGGGGCAUCGGUUUUUCUGAAAGGAAAAAAAAAACUUUGACGAAGGCCGACAAAUUUUCCUAGCGCUCUUCAGCAUUUAAUAUCGGCAGGCAUUAAUUCGCCAGUACUAGCUUCUGAAGAAAACAAGCCACAAAUAUGUUUGUACUCUAUCCGCAUUUAAUAAAGCUAGCAAAAUGGAAUGCAAAUAAGAAAAUAUUGACUCACCAUCUUAUAUUUUUCCGGCUCAAACGGUAAACCGAAAAGUAUGUUUUCCCGGACGGUACUAGGGAAAAGCCACGCCUCUUGGCUGGCGUACGAAACCUUUCCAUAGAUUGAAACUGUGCCAGUGGCCGGAGGCAAUUCCUUUAGAAGCAGUUGCAGAAUUGAAGACUGAAAAACACAAGCAGCAUUGGUUAUCAGGACAUUCCGUUAUAAAAAAAAAUUGCUAUUUUAAUUUAUGAACAUAUGUCCUGACUUUUUGAUAACAUUGUAUGUGUAUAAUAUUUUUUAAUAAAUAAAACUAAAUAGA